AUUGAACGCUGGCGGCAGGCUUAACACAUGCAAGUCGAGCGGAGAUGAGGUGCUUGCACCUUAUCUUAGCGGCGGACGGGUGAGUAAUGCUUAGGAAUCUGCCUAUUAGUGGGGGACAACAUUCCGAAAGGAAUGCUAAUACCGCAUACGUCCUACGGGAGAAAGCAGGGGAUCUUCGGACCUUGCGCUAAUAGAUGAGCCUAAGUCGGAUUAGCUAGUUGGUGGGGUAAAGGCCUACCAAGGCGACGAGCGGUAGCGGGCCUGAGAGGAUGAUCCGCCACACUGGGACUGAGACACGGCCCAGACUCCUACGGGAGGCAGCAGUGGGGAAUAUCGGACAAUGGGCGGAAGCCUGAUCCAGCCAUGCCGCGUGUGUGAAGAAGGCCUUUUGGUUGUAAAGCACUUUAAGCGAGGAGGAGGCUACCUAGAUUAAUACUCUGGGAUAGUGGACGUUACUCGCAGAAUAAGCACCGGCUAACUCUGUGCCAGCCGCCGCAGUAACAC
rnacentral:rRNA from 1 species